GCAAAAGAGAAGUUGCUGUUGAAGCACUGGUUCUAUUAUCACGCCUCUCCAGCCCUUUGGAGUCCCGGCCUCCAGCUUUUGAAACCGUCCCCGGGGCAACAGAGUCCCUUGCUCAGAUGUCGUUCGGUAUCUGGGACUGGGAGGGGUCCUGGACCACACGCAUUCUCACUCUGUGAUUUUGCUUAUCCCCCAGGUGAGGCUCCGGGGCUGCCUAGACCCUAGGAAGAAGCUGUCCUGUAGAACUUUCUGCCCUGAUGGAAAUGUUCCAAGUCUGCGCCGUCUGAUACAGUAUCAGCCACAUUGGCCACUGAGCAUUUGAACUGAGGCUAGUGCUGAUGGAAUUUAAAUUUUAUUGAAUUUUUAUAAAAUUUUAAUAACUCCAAGUGGCUAGUGGCUGCUGUGUUGGAUAGCGCAGGCCCAGACAGCAGGGACAACUGCAUCAUCAGAAAACUGCCAGACCACUUCUCUCCGCCAGGUCCAUUCUCCUUUCUCCACUCUGGAAUGCCCUCCUCCCACCAAGGCCCACGCCAGAUGGAGGUGGAUGCCACACCCACACCUUAAGGUUAUGUUCUGCUUCCCCAGAGAGAAAUGAUCUUUUCAAGGUCCAUUUCCAAAGGAGAAUAUGCUCUGAGGGUGGAGGUAGGGGUGAAUCUGCAUCUCACCUUCCUUCCUUCUUACUUGACAAUCAAGUUCUCAGACAACAAACAAAACAGGACAGAAACGAAAUAGAAUAAUGGUAGAAAUCCUAUCCAAUCGAAACAAUACAGAAAGGUUGUGUCUAGUAUACAGUGGAGAUUAGUGUGUGUUGGGUGUUCUAUUGGAGGUCCUUCCCUUGGUUUAGGUUUAGGGCCUAAGCAUUCAGAAUGCAGUUUCAUAAUCGUGGUGCCAAGAGAGACAGACAGAUGGAGAGAGGGGUAGUGUUGAGGCAUCAGACACAUCUCAUCUCUAAACCUUUCCCUGCAGAUCACCAUCUGAGUCAUGACUUCCCGUCGUUUGUCUUCAGUGAUCUGGUUGGUGCAAACGUAUGAGGUGACAAUACAGAACAAACAGCAGGAGAAAAUAGACGUGCUCAAAACUGGGUGAUUGAUUUGAAAACAACAGAGAAAGAACUA
rnacentral:lncRNA from 1 species